rnacentral:rRNA from 1 species
GAGUGAGGAAGGCCUUCGGGUCGUAAAGCUCUGUUGUGAGGGAAGAAGCGGUACCGUUCGAAUAGGGCGGUACCUUGACGGUACCUCACCAGAAAGCCACGGCUAACUACGUGCCAGCAGCCGCGGUAAUACGUAGGUGGCAAGCGUUGUCCGGAAUUAUUGGGCGUAAAGCGCGCGCAGGCGGCUUCUUAAGUCUGAUGUGAAAUCUCGGGGCUCAACCCCGAGCGGCCAUUGGAAACUGGGGAGCUUGAGUGCAGAAGAGGAGAGUGGAAUUCCACGUGUAGCGGUGAAAUGCGUAGAGAUGUGGAGGAACACCAGUGGCGAAGGCGACUCUCUGGUCUGUAACUGACGCUGAGGCGCGAAAGCGUGGGGAGCAAACAGGAUUAGAUACCCUGGUAGUCCACGCCGUAAACGAUGAGUGCUAGGUGUUAGGGGUUUCGAUGCCCGUACUGCCGAAGUUAACACAUUAAGCACUCCGCCUGGGGAGUACGGCCGCAAGGCUGAAACUCAAAGGAAUUGACGGCUACCCGCACAAGCACUUGAGCAUGUG